ensembl:snoRNA SNORA70 Small nucleolar RNA SNORA70
CUGCAAUCAGUUAAGCCAACUGGGUUCCCUGCUGGUGGGUGUCCAGUGUGCAGUGGCUGCACACAGUAACCUCCUCAGUAGUAUAUGAAGCCUGUUGCUUGUAUAGGCUGCCCUAAGGCACCUCUUGUCAUCC